GAAGUGGUGGUUUAGCGGUCAAGGCUCUGGAUUAUUGAUCAGAAGGUCGCGGGUUCAAGCCCGAGCACUACC